rnacentral:piRNA from 1 species
UCAUCCUGUGCCCAAAGUAAGCAUCCUUUUC